rnacentral:rRNA from 5 species
AGAGUUUGAUCAUGGCUCAGAUUGAACGCUGGCGGCAGGCCUAACACAUGCAAGUCGAACGGUAACAGGAAGCAGCUUGCUGCUUUGCUGACGAGUGGCGGACGGGUGAGUAAUGUCUGGGAAACUGCCUGAUGGAGGGGGAUAACUACUGGAAACGGUAGCUAAUACCGCAUAACGUCGCAAGACCAAAGAGGGGGACCUUCGGGCCUCUUGCCAUCGGAUGUGCCCAGAUGGGAUUAGCUUGUUGGUGGGGUAACGGCUCACCAAGGCGACGAUCCCUAGCUGGUCUGAGAGGAUGACCAGCCACACUGGAACUGAGACACGGUCCAGACUCCUACGGGAGGCAGCAGUGGGGAAUAUUGCACAAUGGGCGCAAGCCUGAUGCAGCCAUGCCGCGUGUAUGAAGAAGGCCUUCGGGUUGUAAAGUACUUUCAGCGGGGAGGAAGGGAGUAAAGUUAAUACCUUUACUCAUUGACGUUACCCGCAGAAGAAGCACCGGCUAACUCCGUGCCAGCAGCCGCGGUAAUACGGAGGGUGCAAGCGUUAAUCGGAAUUACUGGGCGUAAAGCGCACGCAGGCGGUUUGUUAAGUCAGAUGUGAAAUCCCCGGGCUCAACCUGGGAACUGCAUCUGAUACUGGCAAGCUUGAGUCUCGUAGAGGGGGGUAGAAUUCCAGGUGUAGCGGUGAAAUGCGUAGAGAUCUGGAGGAAUACCGGUGGCGAAGGCGGCCCCCUGGACGAAGACUGACGCUCAGGUGCGAAAGCGUGGGGAGCAAACAGGAUUAGAUACCCUGGUAGUCCACGCCGUAAACGAUGUCGACUUGGAGGUUGUGCCCUUGAGGCGUGGCUUCCGGAGCUAACGCGUUAAGUCGACCGCCUGGGGAGUACGGCCGCAAGGUUAAAACUCAAAUGAAUUGACGGGGGCCCGCACAAGCGGUGGAGCAUGUGGUUUAAUUCGAUGCAACGCGAAGAACCUUACCUGGUCUUGACAUCCACGGAAGUUUUCAGAGAUGAGAAUGUGCCUUCGGGAACCGUGAGACAGGUGCUGCAUGGCUGUCGUCAGCUCGUGUUGUGAAAUGUUGGGUUAAGUCCCGCAACGAGCGCAACCCUUAUCCUUUGUUGCCAGCGGUCCGGCCGGGAACUCAAAGGAGACUGCCAGUGAUAAACUGGAGGAAGGUGGGGAUGACGUCAAGUCAUCAUGGCCCUUACGACCAGGGCUACACACGUGCUACAAUGGCGCAUACAAAGAGAAGCGACCUCGCGAGAGCAAGCGGACCUCAUAAAGUGCGUCGUAGUCCGGAUUGGAGUCUGCAACUCGACUCCAUGAAGUCGGAAUCGCUAGUAAUCGUGGAUCAGAAUGCCACGGUGAAUACGUUCCCGGGCCUUGUACACACCGCCCGUCACACCAUGGGAGUGGGUUGCAAAAGAAGUAGGUAGCUUAACCUUCGGGAGGGCGCUUACCACUUUGUGAUUCAUGACUGGGGUGAAGUCGUAACAAGGUAACCGUAGGGGAACCUGCGGUUGGAUCACCU